UAUAUCUCCACCUGUGCACCUUUUGUAGAUCUGGAUAUCUUUCUGAAUGCCUGGCAUUCAGGUUUGAGGAUGACUUUUGUCUUUUCUUACAUUUCCAGGCCUAUGUUUUCUUCAUAUACACCAUGUAUGUUAUAGAAUGUAAUAAAAAUGGCCUUUGUGCCUACAAACUUAUACAACUUUCAGCAACGGAUCUCUUGGCUCUCGCAUCGAUGAAGAACGCAGCGAAAUGCGAUAAGUAAUGUGAAUUGCAGAAUUCAGUGAAUCAUCGAAUCUUUGAACGCACCUUGCGCUCCUUGGUAUUCCGAGGAGCAUGCCUGUUUGAGUGUCAUUAAUAUAUCAACCUCCUCAGGUUUUUACUUGUCGAGUGUUUGGAUGUGGGGGUUUCUUUUGCUGGUCUCUUUCGAGAUCGGCUCCCCUGAAAUGCAUUAGCGGAACAAUUUGUUGANCCGUUCAUUGGUGUGAUAACUAUCUACGCUA
rnacentral:rRNA from 1 species